rnacentral:rRNA from 1 species
UACGUAGGGUCCAAGCGUUGUUCGGAAUUACUGGGCGUAAAGCGCGCGUAGGCGGGUUUGUAUGUCGGUUGUGAAAUCCCCGGGCUCAACCUGGGAACUGCAGUCGAAACUGCAAAUCUUGAAUGUCUGAGAGGAUGGCGGAAUUCCCGGUGUAGUAGUGAAAUACGUAGAUAUCGGGAAGAACACCUGAGGCGAAGGCGGCUAUCUGGCGGUACAUUGACGCUAAGGCGCGAAAGCGUGGGGAGCAAACAGG